GACGAACGCUGGCGGCGUGCCUAAUACAUGCAAGUCGAACGCAGUGGGGACGGGUGAGUAACACGUGGGUAACCUCCCAUCAGAGGGGAUAACACUUGGAAACAGGUGCUAAACCGAUACUGAUGGAUGGACCCGGGGUGCAUUAGCAAGUUGGUGAGGUAACGGCCUACCAAGGCCAGGAUCCAUAGCCAACCUGGGAGGGUGUACGGCAACACUGGGACUGAGACCCGGCCCAGAGUCCUACGGGAGGCAGCAGUAGGGAAUCUUCGGCAAUGGGCGAAAGUCUGACCGGGCAACGCCGCGUGGGUGAAGAAGGUUUUGGGAUCGUAAAACUCUGUUGUUAGGGAGGCGGUAUCUAACCAGAAAGCCACGGCUAACUACGUGCCAGCAGCCGCGGUAAUUC
rnacentral:rRNA from 1 species